rnacentral:rRNA from 1 species
ACUAAAUAGAUACCCAGGUAGUCCACGCCCUAAACGAUGUCUACUAGUUGUCGGGUCUUAAUUGACUUGGUAAACGCAGCUAAAACGCGUGAAGUAGACCGCCUGGGGAGUACGGUCGCAAGAUUAAAACUCAAAGGAAUUGACGGGGACCCGCACAAGCGGUGGAUGAUGUGGAUUAAUUCGAUGCAACGCGAAAAACCUUACCUACCCUUGACAUGGAUGGAAUCCCUGAGAGAUUGGGGAGUGCCCGAAAGGGAACCAUUACACAGGUGCUGCAUGGCUGUCGUCAGCUCGUGUCGUGAGAUGUUGGGUUAAGUCCCGCAACGAGCGCAACCCUUGUCAUUAGUUGCUACGAAAGGGCACUCUAAUGAGACUGCCGGUGACAAACCGGAGGAAGGUGGGGAUGACGUCAAGUCCUCAUGGCCCUUAUGGGUAGGGCUUCACACGUCAUACAA